rnacentral:rRNA from 1 species
AACAAACGCUGGCGGCGUGCCUAAUACAUGCAAGUCGAACGGGGAAAGCUUUCGGGUGAGUACUAGUGGCGCACGGGUGAGGAACGCGUGGAUAAUCUGCCUUAGAGUGGGGGAUAACUAGUCGAAAGAUUAGCUAAUACCGCAUAAGACCACGAGAGCUGCGGCUUUUGAGGUCAAAGGUUUUUCGCUCUAAGAUGAGUCCGCGUAAGAUUAGCUAGUUGGUGAGGUAACGGCUCACCAAGGCGACGAUCUUUAACUGGUCUGAGAGGAUGAUCAGUCACACUGGAACUGAGACACGGUCCAGACUCCUACGGGAGGCGGCAGUAGGGAAUAUUGCACAAUGGAGGAAACUCUGAUGCAGCGACGCCGCGUGAGUGAUGAAGGCCUUCGGGUCGUAAAGCUCUGUCGCAGGGGAAUAACACAAUGAAGGUACCCUGUAAGAAAGGGUCGGCUAACUUCGUG